CACAUACACUCACAAAAUCACCUCCUUGUAUCAUAAAACCUUGAAUAAUCCUAUGAAAAGUACUAUUUUUGUAACCUUUUGAUUUUAAUAAUUAGUAGUCUGAAUCUGAUGGCCGAAAGUGCUUACCGAUCGGUUUUUGAUUAACUCCAAGCGUUUCUCCUGUACAAAAUUGUCUAACUAUUAGAAAUAAAAAUCUUGAAAACCAACAAUCAAUUGUUUGAUUACCUGAAGUUUUCAGCAGUCCUAAAUUCAAUGUCAGCACUUUAUUUCACAAUAAAUCAAUAAUUAUUCAAGUUAAAAAUUGGCUUUAGAUUAUUAAUUACAUACUUCGGGACUAUACUGGAAAACAACCGGAUCUUGAUCCUUCCUAAUAAUCUCCCAUCAAUAGCAAUCUAUUGUCCAAAAUUAGUAUUUUCGAGAGUUUAGUAAAUACGACGUCCAUACAUCCAUAAAAACAACAGGUUCGGUGCUCAUUUUAACAAGUUAAUUUGGUAAAUGUCUGGAAGAUGCUCAUAAAAUUUUCUGGUUUGCGACUUGAAGAUGCUAAUUUGUAUGUUCUCACUUUACUCGCUGGGUGUUGACGAACAUUUGAGACUUGGGCUUUCACGAGUUGGAGGGGAGCAGAAUUUCUACGAAAAUCAUUAAAAUAAUCCAUCAAAGGCAAUCAUUUACACAAGAAAGAAAUCUAUUUUUCUUUGCUUUCAUUAUUCUUUUAAUCCGCAUUCCGUUAUUUAUUUAUGUAUCCCAGGAAAAGUGCGAAAAACAAGAAUCCUUACAGCUAAAACUACGCUACAAUUAGGCUAGCUUGUUUUUUUU